UUUGAAUUUGCAGUAACAGGUGUGAGCAUUCUAGCAGCAGUUUGAUGAUCAUGUAUGAUAC
rnacentral:miRNA from 1 species